GAUGAACGCUAGCUACAGGCUUAACACAUGCAAGUCGAGGGGCAGCAUGGUCUUAGCUUGCUAAGGCCGAUGGCGACCGGCGCACGGGUGAGUAACACGUAUCCAACCUGCCGUCUACUCUUGGACAGCCUUCUGAAAGGAAGAUUAAUACAAGAUGGCAUCAUGAGUCCGCAUGUUCACAUGAUUAAAGGUAUUCCGGUAGACGAUGGGGAUGCGUUCCAUUAGAUAGUAGGCGGGGUAACGGCCCACCUAGUCUUCGAUGGAUAGGGGUUCUGAGAGGAAGGUCCCCCACAUUGGAACUGAGACACGGUCCAAACUCCGACGGGAGGCAGCAGUGAGGAAUAUUGAUCAAUGGGCGCAGGCCUGAACCAGCCAAGUAGCGUGAAGGAUGACUGCCCUAUGGGUUGUAAACUUCUUUUAUAAAGGAAUAAAGUCGGGUAUGUAUACCCGUUUGCAUGUACUUUAUGAAUAAGGAUCGGCUAACUCCGUG
rnacentral:rRNA from 1 species